AGGGCGUCCUCCCGCAGGAGCUCGGUCAGGUCGUUGCCCCUCCCGAGGGCUCGCACGGAGUCCAGGGUCCUCAGCUCCCUCCUCGAGGGCUCGGAGAGCUUAUUGAGGGUCUUCAACCGAGGGUUCCCCCACCUCGGGUCGAACCCCCAAGGCGCCUCGGACGCCAGGAAGAAAAACUUCCCCUUCCACUCAUGAAUCGAGGAAGGGGCACCCUGGAAGAGUGACA
rnacentral:lncRNA from 1 species